rnacentral:rRNA from 1 species
GACGAACGCUGGCGGCGCGCUUAACACAUGCAAGUCGAGCGAGAACCAGACCUUCGGGUCUGGGGACAGCGGCGAACGGGUGAGUAACACGUGGGUAAUCAACCCUCGGUACUGGGAUAGCCCGGGGAAACCCGGAUUAAUACCGGAUGGCCCUUCGGAUCUUCGGUUCUGAAGGAAAAGGUAGCUUCGGCCUCCGACCGAGGACGAGCCCGCGGCGGAUUAGCUUGUUGGUGGGGUAACGGCCUACCAAGGCGGCGAUCCGUAGCUGGUCUGAGAGGACGAUCAGCCACACUGGGACUGAGACACGGCCCAGACUUCUACGGAAGGCAGCAGUGGGGAAUCUUGCGCUAAUGCGGGAAACCGUGACGCAGCGACGCCGCGUGAGGGAAGAAGGCCUUCGGGUUGUAAACCUCUUUCAGGAGGGACGAAGCUACUCGGGUUAAUAGCCCAGAGGGUGACGGUACCUUCAGAAGAAGCCCCGGCUAACUACGUGCCAGCCGCCGCAGUAA